GCCGCGUGAGUGAUGAAGGUUUUCGGAUCGUAAAACUCUGUUGUUAGGGAAGAACAAGUACCGGAGUAACUGCCGGUACCUUGACGGUACCUAACCAGAAAGCCACGGCUAACUACGUGCCAGCAGCCGCGGUAAUACGUAGGUGGCAAGCGUUGUCCGGAAUUAUUGGGCGUAAAGCGCGCGCAGGCGGUCUUUUAAGUCUGAUGUGAAAGCCCCCGGCUCAACCGGGGAGGGUCAUUGGAAACUGGGAGACUUGAGUGCAGAAGAGAAGAGUGGAAUUCCACGUGUAGCGGUGAAAUGCGUAGAGAUGUGGAGGAACACCAGUGGCGAAGGCGACUCUUUGGUCUGUAACUGACGCUGAGGCGCGAAAGCGUGGGGAGCGAACAGGAUUAGAUACCCUGGUAGUCCACGCCGUAAACGAUGAGUGCUAAGUGUUAGAGGGUUUCCGCCCUUUAGUGCUGCAGCAAACGCAUUAAGCACUCCGCCUGGGGAGUACGGCCGCAAGGCUGAAACUCAAAGGAAUUGACGGGGGCCCGCACAAGCGGUGGAGCAUGUGGUUUAAUUCGAAGCAACGCGAAGAACCUUACCAGGUCUUGACAUCCUCUGACCUUCCUAGAGAUAGGACUUUCCCCUUCGGGGGACAGAGUGACAGGUGGUGCAUGGUUGUCGUCAGCUCGUGUCGUAAGAUGUUGGGUUAAGUCCCGCAACGAGCGCAACCCUUGUC
rnacentral:rRNA from 1 species